rnacentral:rRNA from 1 species
AGUGAACGCUGGCGGCAGGCCUAACACAUGCAAGUCGAGCGGCAGCGGGUUCCCGCGAGGGGAUGCCGGCGAGCGGCGGACGGGUGAGGAACACAUCGGAAUCUGCCUGGUUGUGGGGGAUAACGUAGGGAAACUUACGCUAAUACCGCAUGCGACCCUGAGUCGACGGACUUGGGGUGAAAGUGAGGGACCUUCGGGCCUCACGCGACCAGAUGAGCCGAUGUCGGAUAGCUAGUUGGCGGGGUAACGGCCCGCCAAGGCGACGAUCCGUAGCUGGUCUGAGAGGAUGAUCAGCCACACUGGGACUGAGACACGGCCCAGACUCCUACGGGAGGCAGCAGUGGGGGAAUCUUGGACAAUGGGCGCAAGCC